AAAUUCCCGCCCCGGCAAGAGGUGCAGCCGCCUCACCGGGAAUCGAGUCUUGGGUCUGAAGAGGUAACGAAUCGGACUAAGCGUAGACAGAGCGACGCGCGAGCCGUAACGAAAGUGAAGCGAUUGAGCCUCGUAAAAUACUUAACCGCAGGCCGACAGCAUCGUAGUGGCUGGAAGGCACCAGUAGGCACACCGCAAACGGCGAGGUGGCCGGAGACUGCGGCGGGGUCAGUGAGCA
rfam:Freshwater sediment metagenome lwMethane_BCGO12454_x1, whole genome shotgun sequence.